rnacentral:antisense_RNA from 1 species
AAGCUCGACGCGCGCACUCUUGUCUGCUUACGAGGGCUCCUCCCUUCAGCUUUGGUCCCUCGGGGCGUCUGGGCAGCCUACGCUUUCCGACUAUGGAAAUGAUAUUAGACAAAAAGCAACUUCAAGUGAUUUUCUUAUUUGAGUUCAAAAUGGGUCAUAACGCAGCAGAGAUAACUUGAAACAUGAAAAGCGCAUUUGGCCCAGGAACUACUAACGAACAUACAGGGCAGCUGUGAUUCAAGAAGUUUUGCAAAGGAGACUAGAGCCUUGAAUAUGAGGAACACAGUGGCCAGCCAUUGGAAGUUCCACUUCUUGAAGCAUCUUGACAGCUUUUUGCAGGUGAAAUGCUUCCACACCAGCAGGAUGCAGAAAAAUGCUUUCCAAGAGUUUGUUGAAUCCAGAAGCAUGGAUGUUUAUGCUGCAGGAAUAAACAAAUUUAUUUCUUGUUGGCAAAAAUGUGUUGAUUGUAAUGGUUCCUAUUUUGAUUAAUAAAGAUGUGUUUGAGCCUAGUUAUAAUGAUUUAAAAUUAAUGGUCCAAAAAUGCAAUUACUUUUGCACCACCACCAACACACACACACACACCUACACAUUCUGGAUUUGAAUUCCAUGUUGAUUAUGUGCACUUGGAAUAUUUCUUUUCCAUCUGUGGAUUGUUCUGUCACUUAUUUUCUUUAAUAAAUGGGUUUCUGAACCUCUGUUGUAUUGACA